rnacentral:misc_RNA from 1 species
GGGAAUGAAUCGCCGCACAUAUUUUUGACUCUCCCACACGACGCCACGCACGCGCACACAAGCUUACCCCGGCCUCGGCCCUUUCCCCUUUCACCUGAACGCUCCUUUCAUGGGCUGAGCCGCUCUGCGGUUUCCGGUAGUCCGGCGGUGUGCUUGAACCGUGACAUCAAGACGCUGCACCAUUUCCGCGUGCGCUCCUCUGGUGGCUUGAGCACGGGGCGAACAAAGAGCAAAGCAGGGCGUGGCACAGCGCGCCGCAUUACCGUUGCCUGUGCUGUGGCCUGAUGCCGCCUACUCAUCUGCCUCCCUGUGGCGCUCGGCGGACACACUACUGAAAAGAAGCGCGAGACGCUGGAGGUGAAGCCAAGGCGUGCGUCGUCGAGCAGGGAAAAGACGAGCGACGUCCGUGGCGAGAGAGAGAGUUGGCAGGGCAGCUGUGGCGGUCAGGGGCAAGACGAUCUCGUUAAAGGCUCUCCCAACGCUCCCUCCCCUCUCCUGUGUCAGCUUCCGAUGUGUUCGCGACAGCCCCGGCUGCCAAGCCGGCCGCGCCGAAGGUGGGCAUGCCCAUCGGCGGCAAUGGGCAUUCCCGAUAGCUGGACUAGCUCGGGAGAAAUCUCCUCGCACCCCACCUCCCGCACCCCGGCGCCGGAGGAUCCCGUCUUCGUCUUCCCUCCCACGGGCAGUGAGAGACCUGCGGCGCUCAGCGAGCUCCGUAAGAGGAGCUAAGAAAGCGCCCUGGAUUGCUGUUGGCGCGGAGCUCGCCUACCUGCGUGCAUCUGGGGAAGAAGUGCCCUUUGCCGCUUGUGAACCCCCUUGAUGGCGCGCAGUGUAUUUUGCGUUGUUUGUCUCUUUCCGCGAUGGAAGCCUCACUUCACUGGGUCUAAUCGGGAGUGUUGGCGCUCUUGUGACAGCGGGAAUGCCGGCAGAGGAGAAUCCCGGUGCACACUUGUGAGGCGGAGCUAGCACGCCUGCAGUAUUGUUUGCGUUGGGCAGAGCACUCGUGAACGGGGCUGUAUAGCUCGUGCUCGACGCCAUUGUUUUCUGUUCCGCACGCGCCGUGCUCUCUUCCGCUUUCGUAUUUGUCACUUCUGAGUCGUGUCUUUUCCCACACACUGUUAUGUGUAUGCUGUGCCCGUGUGUGUGUGUGUGUGUGUCUUGCCUUUGCGGCGCUUUACCGUGCUCGCAGCUUGUGUUUUGCCUUGCCAUCGCGGAUGUGUCCGCUGCACACGUGUGCGGGCGCGUCUGUGCUGAUAAGUUGCGCAUCGCUCCAGCCGUGCUGAUUUUCAUCAUCGUGCUCCCCGUCGACUCUUCCGAGUUCUUCUGACUGCGUCAUACGUCACCCCACUUCCACUCCCGCUGCACUGCCCCCACCUUCGGCGGCUCGGCAACCCCCCGUGUGUCUAUGCUCGCCAUUGCGAGUGAGAGCUUCGUACCUCGUCGCCGCCUGAUCACUGCUGCUCCGCUUUCUCCCCAAAUGCGCCCGUUUCCCUUGUCUCCCUCCUUCUGUGUACGUAUGCGUGCGCGUUGAAUAGCUGAGCCAACCAUGUGCGCAACGGAAGCUAUUUCUCGCUGCUCUCUUCUUGUGGUCUCUUUUCAAGGCCGCUCUCUCUUCCCCUUGUCAUCUACUGCCCUCAGCAUUGUUCUUGCGGCUGCUCUUUCCGUAUGUCGGCCUGUCUGCUCAUCCUCGUCUCUGUCUUUCUCAAGUUUUGCUCGCCUUCUUACCUCCCACGGGCAGCCCCUUCUCUUAUGGGAAUGUGUGCUCUACCUCUGCCUGUGUGCCUUGGUGCUCCGCGGCACCUGCAGAUGCGCGCUUGCCGCUGCCCGGAGUCACUCCCUUUUUCUUUGUGUUUUGCUGUGUAUCGGUGCUCAUUCCAGCCUUAGCUGUGGUUGGCGUGCCUGAGUGGAGGUGUGCGUCCCCCCACCCCCCUCGGGGCCCGUGUGGCAGCAUAGAAGGGGGAUGGCAUGGCGGGCGCAUUUUUCACCUCCUCAUCGUGUCUCCCUCUUACCUCUAUUUCUUCUCCGGUUCGCUCGUCUCCUUCAUUACGCUUUUCGCUUCCGUGUGUGUGCGAGGCUUCCUGUCUUCCGCCGUCCCGAGCCUUUUUUCAGUGUUUGUGCGUAUCGGCGUGGCGACACGCGCGCCAAUGCACGCCGUGGAAGAGAGGAGAAAACACCGGAGCUCCUGGAGCGAGAGCGGCAAGGACUCUCCGCCAUGCUUGCACGCCUUG